CCCCGCGGCGGCGGGCGGCGGCAGCGAGCGCGGGGAGCCGGCCUGGGACUCGUACUACCAACCGCGCGGGCUGGAGAAGCACACGGACAGCGUGCUGGCGCUGGUGAGCGGGCGGACGCGCUCGGCCUCGAGAAACGGCCCCGGAAACACCGAAAAACACCC